rnacentral:lncRNA from 1 species
GUUUUAGUGUAAGGAUGCCUCUAUAACUUAUAUAGCAUGCAUAUUAUGCUGUAGUAUUAUAACUCAUAGAAUUUUAUUGCCUUGAGUUAUUCGCUCUAUAUGUCCUGAAUUUUUUAUUGCAUCACAUUUUAAGUAUAUUUAAGUACUUUCGCAUUAAUGCUCUAUAUGUCCUAAAUUAAUGUAUAUUUAAGCACUUUCAUAUCAUUUUAUGACGCAUUAUUUGUGUCGGUCAAAAUCUGACCAUAAGCGGAUUACCAAUAAAGGAAACGGCAAAGGGUCAACCUAGCUAUGGACGUACCCGUAAAGCGUAAUAGCGACGAGCGUCUCGGCAACUGCUGAGAUCAAGCCAUCGAGAGGCUUGCACAACAGAAUAUAUGCAGUCAAGCUUGAACAAGUAAAGAGGAAUAUCAUCGAGAAGGGGGUAAGUUGAUUAAAGACCGUUAGAUAUAGGGAAAAGAUGGGUACUAUAUAUAUCAAAGAUAAAGC